UACGUAGGGGGCAAGCGUUAUCCGGAUUUACUGGGUGUAAAGGGAGCGUAGGCGGUGAUGCAAGUCAGAAGUGAAAGCCCGCAGCUCAACUGCGGGACUGCUUUUGAAACUGUAUGACUAGAUUGCAGGAGAGGUAAGUGGAAUUCCUAGUGUAGCGGUGAAAUGCGUAGAUAUUAGGAGGAACACCAGUGGCGAAGGCGGCUUACUGGACGGCAACUGACGCUGAGGCUCGAAAGCGUGGGGAGCGAACAGG
rnacentral:rRNA from 1 species